rnacentral:rRNA from 1 species
CCUACGGGAGGCAGCAGUCAAGAAUAUUCCACAAUGGCCGAAAGGCUGAUGGAGCGACGCCGCGUGUAUGAAGACGCCCCUCGGGGUGUAAAGUACUUUUAUUAGGGAUGAAAAUAUGACAGUACCUAAUGAAUAAGGGGCUGCUAACCUCGUGCCAGCCAGCAGCGGUAAU